GACGAACGCUGGCGGCGUGCUUAACACAUGCAAGUCGAACGGUGAAGCUCCAGCUUGCUGGAGUGGAUCAGUGGCGAACGGGUGAGUAACACGUGAGCAACCUGCCCCUGACUCUGGAAUAAGCGCUGGAAACGGCGUCUAAUACUGGAUACGAGAAGGGUCCGCAUGGGCACUUUCUGGAAAGUUUUUCGGUUGGGGAUGGGCUCGCGGCCUAUCAGCUUGUUGGUGAGGUAAUGGCUCACCAAGGCGACGACGGGUAGCCGGCCUGAGAGGGCGACCGGCCACACUGGGGCUGAGACACGGCCCAGACUCCUACGGGAGGCAGCAGUGGGGAAUAUUGCACAAUGGGCGAAAGCCUGAUGCAGCGACGCCGCGUGAGGGAUGACGGCCUUCGGGUUGUAAACCUCUUUCAGCAGGGAAGAAGCGAAAGUGACGGUACCUGCAGAAGAAGCACCGGCUAACUACGUG
rnacentral:rRNA from 1 species